rnacentral:rRNA from 1 species
GAAAGUAAAUAAGGGCGCAUGGCGGAUGCCUUGGCUCUCGGAGGCGAUGAAGGACGUGAUAAGCUGCGAUAAGCUUCGGGUAGGUGCAAAUGACCUUUGAUCCGAAGAUUUCCGAAUGGGACAACCCGGCAUUCUGAAGGAAUGUCAUCCAACUUGGUUGGAGGCUAACGCAGGGAACUGAAACAUCUUAGUACCUGCAGGAAAAGAAAAUAAAUAAUGAUUCCCCUAGUAGUGGCGAGCGAACGGGGAUUAGCCCAAACCACCCAUGUUACGGCAUGUGUGGGGUUGUAGGACCACGCUCUCGCAAGACAGUUAUUGAGAAGAAACGACUGGAAAGUCGUGCCAUAGACGGUGAUAGCCCGGUAUUCUAAGGUAACCGAAGCGUAGUGGUAUCCUGAGUAGCGCGGAGCACGAGGAAUUCUGCGUGAAUCAGCCGGGACCAUCCGGUAAGGCUAAAUACUCCCGAGAGACCGAUAGCGAACCAGUACUGUGAAGGAAAGGUGAAAAGCACUUCGAAUAGAAGAGUGAAAUAGUCCCUGAAACCAUGCGCCUACAAGCGGUCGGAGCAGCUUAAGUUGUGACGGCGUGCCUUUUGCAUAAUGAACCUACGAGUUACUUUUUCCGGCAAGGUUAAGCAUCUUGAGAUGUGGAUCCGAAGCGAAAGCGAGUCUGAACAGGGCGGAUAGUCGGAAGGAGUAGACGCGAAACCAAGUGAUCUACCCUUGGGCAGGUUGAAGGUUAGGUAACACUAACUGGAGGACCGAACCGAUAAGCGUUGAAAAGCUUCCGGAUGACCUGAGGGUGGGGGUGAAAGGCUAAUCAAACUUGGAGAUAGCUCGUACUCCCCGAAAUGCAUUUAGGUGCAGCCUUGAGAGUUACUAAUGUGAGGUAGAGCGACUGAUAAGAUGCGAGGGCUUCACCGCCUAUCAAGUCUUGAUAAACUCCGAAUGCGCAUUAGUUCUAUCUCAGGAGUGAGGGCAUGGGUGCUAAGGUCCAUGUCCUAAAGGAGAAGAAUCCAGACCAUCAGCUAAGGUCCCCAAAUAAACACUAAGUUGAACUAACGAAGUCAGAUUGCUAAGACAGCUAGGAUGUUGGCUUGGAAGCAGCCAUUCAUUUAAAGAGUGCGUAACAGCUCACUAGUCGAGGAGUUUGGCGUGGAUAAUAAUCGGGCAUAAGUGUUUUACCGAAGCUAUGGGAUCCUAAUGGAUCGGUAGGGGAGCAUUCCACUCUGCGUUGAAGGCUAAGCGUGAGCUUUACUGGAGCGUGUGGAAAAGCAAAUGUAGGUAUAAGUAACGAUAAAGGGGGUGAGAAACCCCCUCGCCGCAAGACUAAGGUUUCCUGAUCAACGCUAAUCGGAUCAGGGUUAGUCGGGUCCUAAGGCUCAGCCGAACGGUGAGGCCGAUGGCAGAACAGGUUAAUAUUCCUGUACUACCUGUAAGAGUGAUGUGGAGACGGAGGAGUGACAACGCCGCGGACUGACGGAAUAGUCCGUUAAAGGGUGUAGAUGUUGAUUAUCCCAGGCAAAUCCGGGAUAAGAGUCGAACCUGAUAGUAUACCAAUUUCCCCGGAAAACGGUAAUAGUGCGUGUAAACAUACUCCCAAGAAAAUCCGCUAAACUUAAUCUUACAGGUACCCGUACCGUAAACGGACACACGUAGUCGGGUUGAAUAUACUCAGGCGCUUGAGUGAAUCACGGUUAAGGAACUAGGCAAAUUGACCCUGUAACUUCGGGAUAAAGGGUCCCUACCCGGUGACGGGAGGGCGCAGAGAAUAGGUCCAGGCAACUGUUUAACAAAAACACAGGGCUGUGCAAAAUUGAAAGAUCACGUAUACAGCCUGACACCUGCCCGGUGCUGGAAGGUUAAGAGGAGAUGUCAUCGCAAGAGAAGCAUUGAAUUGAAGCCCCAGUAAACGGCGGCCGUAACUAUAACGGUCCUAAGGUAGCGAAAUUCCUUGUCGGGU